rnacentral:rRNA from 1 species
UUCGGGAUAACCUCGGGAAAUCGUGGCUAAUACCGGAUACGAACACUCAUCGCAUGGUGGGUGUUGGAAAGAUUUAUCGGUGGGGGAUGGACUCGCGGCCUAUCAGUUUGUUGGUGAGGUAAUGGCUCACCAAGGCGAUGACGGGUAGCCGGCCUGAGAGGGCGACCGGCCACACUGGGACUGAGACACGGCCCAGACUCCUACGGGAGGCAGCAGUGGGGAAUAUUGCACAAUGGGCGCAAGCCUGAUGCAGCGACGCCGCGUGAGGGAUGACGGCCUUCGGGUUGUAAACCUCUUUCAGUAGGGAAGAAGCGAGAGUGACGGUACCUGCAGAAGAAGCGCCGGCUAACUACGUGCCAGCAGCCGCGGUAAUACGUAGGGCGCAAGCGUUGUCCGGAAUUAUUGGGCGUAAAGAGCUUGUAGGUGGCUUGUCGCGUCUGCCGUGAAAACCCGAGGCUCAACCUCGGGCGUGCGGUGGGUACGGGCAGGCUAGAGUGUGGUAGGGGAGACUGGAACUCCUGGUGUAGCGGUGAAAUGCGCAGAUAUCAGGAAGAACACCGAUGGCGAAGGCAGGUCUCUGGGCCAUUACUGACACUGAGAAGCGAAAGCAUGGGUAGCGAACAGGAUUAGAUACCCUGGUAGUCCAUGCCGUAAACGUUGGGCACUAGGUGUGGGGGACAUUCCACGUUUUCCGCGCCGUAGCUAACGCAUUAAGU